AUGCCUGUACCAUAACCGACACAGGUGGGUAGGUAGAGUAUACUAAGGGGCGCGAGAUAACUCUCUCUAAGGAACUCGGCAAAAUGACUCCGUAACUUCGGGAGAAGGAGUGCCUUAUUUAUAAGGUUGCAAUAACAAGAUCCAAGCAACUGUUUAUCAAAAACACAGGUCUCCGCUAAGUCGUAAGACGAUGUAUGGGGGCUGACGCCUGCCCAGUGCCAGAAGGUUAAAGAAGUUGGUUAGUGUAUGCGAAGCUGAUGACUGAAGCCCUGGUGAACGGCGGCCGUAACAAUAACGGUCCUAAGGUAGCGAAAUUCCUUGUCGGGUAAGUUCCGACCCGCACGAAAGGCGUAAUGAUUUGGAUACUGUCUCGGAGAGAGGCUCGGUGAAAUAGACUUGUCUGUGAAGAUGCGGACUACCUGCACCAGGACAGAAAGACCCUAUGAAGCUUUACUGUAACUUGAAAUUGGAAUUGGACUUUGCUUGCGCAGUAUAGGUGGGAAGCGUUGAAGAUAUUCUUGCGGGAGUAUUGGAGCUAUCAGUGAGAUACCACUCUUGUAAUGUUAGAUUUCUAACUUUGAACCAUAAUCUGGUCAAAGAACAGUUUCAGGUGGGCAGUUUGACUGGGGCGGUCGCCUCCCAAAUGGUAACGGAGGCGUACAAAGGUUUCCUCUGAACGGAUAGAAAUCGUAUCUAGAGUGUAAAGGCAUAAGGAAGCUUGACUGUGAGACCUACAAGUCGAGCAGGGACGAAAGUCGGUCUUAGUGAUCUGACGGUACUGAGUGGAAAGGCCGUCACUCAACGGAUAAAAGUUACUCUAGGAUAACAGGCUGAUCUCCCCCAAGAGUUCACAUCGACGGGGAGGUUUGGCACCUCGAUGUCGGCUCAUCGCAUCCUGGGGCGGUAGUACGUCCCAAGGGUUGGGCUGUUCGCCCAUGAAAGCGGUACGCGAGCUGGGUUCAGAACGUCGUGAGACAGUUCGGUCCAUAUCCGGUGUAGGCGUUAGAAUAUUGAGAGGAGCCUUCUUUAGUACGAGAGGACCGAGAAGGACACACCGCUGGUGUACCAGUUAUCGUGCCAACGGUAAACGCUGGGUAGCUAUGUGUGGAGUGGAUAACCGCUGAAAGCAUCUAAGUGGGAAGCCCACCUCAAGAUGAGUAUUCUGGUGUAAGGUCACGGGAAGACGACCCGUAAAUAGGCACGAGGUGGAAGUGCAGAGAUGUAUGAAGCCGAAGUGUACUAAUAGACCGUC
rnacentral:rRNA from 1 species